AACGAACGCUGGCGGCAGGCUUAACACAUGCAAGUCGAGCGCCCCGCAAGGGGAGCGGCAGACGGGUGAGUAACGCGUGGGAACGUGCCCUUUGGUUCGGAACAACUCCGGGAAACUGGAGCUAAUACCGGAUAAGCCCUUCGGGGGAAAGAUUUAUCGCCAAAGGAUCGGCCCGGGUCUGAGUAGCUAGUUGGUGAGGUAAUGGCUCACCAAGGCGACGAGCAGUAGCUGGUCUGAGAGGAUGGUCAGCCACACUGGGACUGAGAGACGGCCCAGACUCCUACGGGAGGCAGCAGUGGGGAAUAUUGGACAAUGGGCGCAAGCCUGAUCCAGCCAUGCCGCGGGAGUGAUGAAGGCCUUAGGGUUGUAAAGCUCUUUUGUCCGGGAAGAUAAUGACUGUACCGGAAGAAUAAGCCCCGGCUAACUUCGUGCCAGCCGCCGCCGUAAAAC
rnacentral:rRNA from 1 species